GGCGGGGGAAGGCCAGCGAGGCGGCUUCCGGGAGGGAGGUGAAGUUGUCCCGGUUCGCGGAAAGCUCUCGCUCGAUAGCUCCAGCUCCAUAGGGGAGAAGAACUGAAUGAGAGGAAGACUCCAGCUUAAAGACUCUGACAUAACAGAGUACACAACCAAAAACCAAGAGAAGACACAUCUGGUUCAGUGUUCGGUUUACUAUCCACCUCAUACCUCAAAAAGGAGGAUUUGGCCAGGAAUUGUGACUCACACCUAAAAUCCCAGGACUCAGCACUGCCUGCAGCUCAGACACUCACCCAGCCAGUACCGUCCAGUGAUGCCCCGCACAUUCCCACCCGAAUACUUCUGGUACCUUUGAACUUCUUUCCAGCCCAGCAAGA